rnacentral:rRNA from 1 species
UACGUAGGGGGCGAGCGUUGUCCGGAGUUACUGGGCGUAAAGGGCAUGCAGGCGGUCGGACGCGUUUUGUGUGACAGCGGGAGGCUUAACUUCCCGAGUAUGCGAAAGACGGUCUGACUUGAGGGCUCGAGAGGGACACGGAAUUCCGGGUGGAGUGGUGAAAUGCGUAGAGAUCCGGAGGAACACCGAAGGCGAAGGCAGUGUCCUGGCGAGUGACUGACGCUGAGGUGCGAAAGCGUGGGGAGCAAACAGG